GGGCGCAUGGUCUAGUGGUAUGAUUCUUCUUUAGGGCUGGUCGUCUGACUAAGAUCCAUAGAAGAGGUCCUGGGUUCAAUUCCCAGUGCGCCCC
rnacentral:tRNA from 1 species